GCAGUUCCAACAUCGUGUAUCCAGAAGCGGUGAUAAAAGAAGCUUUCUGAUUGGUCAGAGACUGGCUUGGCCCAUCUUCGGGAGGAAUGGGGACUCGCCGUAUCCUCCUGCUCUUCUGGAGGUGGGUUCGCCCACGAAGUGGGCCGGUCGGGAGCGCGGGAGGCUGGAGCGGCGCCUGCCCCGUGGACAAGGUGCCGUUGCCCAGGCGGAGCUUUGAGCUGGUUUGACUUCGCCGAGGUUCUUGUCGCUCCCCCAAGUCCCAGAUUCCGGGGAGCGCGGCCGUAAGGUGCAUCAAUCUCGCAGGCGAAUCUGAUUUUUAAAGCCCAGGGAUAUUAUGCGCUGUAAAAUGUAAAAUAUGAAAGUGUUAAAAGUGAUGUCUGUGGAACAAGGACAAGUGAGGGAUGUGGAGGAGCCGUUGGACUCAGGAAUUGGAGGCUGUACUUUGCUCUGAGUCCAGCCCCUCUUGUAAAAUGGACAAUGUAUCACAUACCACAUACGGAAUGAAAGCGAGCCUCCAGGACACUUCCCAUCCCACAGGGAGGCUCCAGAGAUAUCUGUGGACUUUCCGGGGAGGCCCCUCUUGUUGGCGGUCAGGAACCCCAGUCUGCAGUCACUGCUGUCUUCCUGACCUGGGCAAGUCGCCUCACUCCUGAGCCUGUUUCCUCAUUUUUAAAAGGCGCUAGUGGAACCCACCUUCUGGGGUUGUCCUGAGGCUUAGAAGAGGGAACCUCUGUAGGUGCCUGGGACAUAGCUGGUGCUCAGCGGUGACGAAUGGAUGAAUGAGAAGAGAUUUAUCUGGACAGAUUGGGUUUAUCAUCACCGUCAUAUGUUGGCCAGAUGCAUGCACCCCUCUUCUCACUCCCGCUGGUUCCUCUGGGAUGGCUGGUGCUGAAAGGGAAGAGCAGCCCCUCAGGGGACAAGAGAGGACGGAAGGAGAUUGCCACCCUCUCCAAUAUGUGUCUCUGAGAUGCCAGGUCCCCAGCCUGCCAAACACUGGGGGGCGUCAGGACUCCUGAACCCCCAAAGCUGGUUCUGCAUCCCUGACUUGCCCAGAAACUGUUCUAGCUGCUGGUACAGAAGGGUGACCUUGGGCAAGUUUCUAGCCCUCUCCCUGCCUCAGUUUCCCCAUCUGGGUGACAGGAGGGAGAAGGAAGGUAAGCAGCUAAGCGCUCAAGUCCAGGGCAGCUCGGAGACAUGAGACUGCCGGCUCCCCUCCCUCGGUGCCUGAGGAGGCUGGAAGUUGCAAGCGCGGAGAAUGCUCCUCGCGGGGCUGAGCAGAGCGGAGCGCCAGCUACGGGAAGGUCACCUCGCUCCCUCGCAGAUCCGUUGCGGGGGGCGCUGAGCUCUGAGCCCCGGAGAAGGGGCUUGGACAUUCAGGGAGCCAAGAAAGAGGCCUGUCUGGAAAGGGGUCUCGUGGAGCGAAGCAUGCGCCUAUAGCCCCCUCCAAGUGCCUUGCAAAGGAAGCCCCGAGCGCCCACAAGGACCCAGAGGUGCAGCUUUCCACCCCUGUCUUCGCCCUUGGUCCGGGACCCGGGUCCUCGCAGCGUGGCCAUCCGGCCUUUGGCGCCCGAGAGUUUCGGUUGUCCGGCAGGGCGCACGGCCUCCCCGCCCUCUCCCUGUGCCAAGUUCGGCCCCGGACAGAGUUUGGGAAAUGCUGUGGACCCCCCUCCACGCUCCACCAGCGCCCCGCGGGAUGCGUGGGCAGAGAAGCGCUGGGGAAGACUGGCCGGCCGCGGGACCCACGGGGUGCAGGGGCCAGGGUGGUGGAUGA